rnacentral:lncRNA from 1 species
UUUUCUCUCUUUCUCUCUGUCUCUCUCUCUCUGUCUCUCUGUCUCUCUCUCUCUCUCUCUCUCUCUCUCUCUCUCUCUCUCUAUCUCUCUCUCUCUAUCUCUCUCUCCCCCUUAUUUUUUUCACUCACUGAGCAAUGAAAACCUGCCUAAUCCAAGAUUUGGAAAGUCACAGAUAAAUUGGUUUGCACCCAUGGAUCUAAUUGUAAAUAGUUUGUAAAUAGAUGACUUUAGUUUAGCAAAAGAGAAUGUUUUCCUGGAAAACAUUCAGAAUGAUGGGGCUGAAUCUCCUGGUUUUUAUCCUGUAAUUUCUUCAUUGAUAAUUAUCGUGACCCAAUUAAUGACAUGAGUAGCAUUUUAGUUUUUACUUGCAAAUAGCCUUGUAAAUGGAGCAUCUAACCAUCCAUAGUCUUUGAACUCCCCGGAAAGCAGGUAUACUGUUUCAUCUUUUAUGUAUAUCAAGAUUCCUGCCUGUGAAAUAUACAUGUAUCCUAUUUUGUUCUUUCAACAAAAUGUUUAUUAUGGCUUUCUACAGUUAUAGUGAAACUAUGUGAAUAGUGUGUCUACCCAGUCUGUGUGGCUUUCUCGGGGUAUUUCUGGGUCUGUCUGUGUUUCUCUGUUAUGUCAUGAAACAGGAGAGUUUCGUGACUGCAGUACUGAAACGCUGCUAUCUAAGUUCCUUUACAUGUUCCUCAGAAUAGUGUAAUAAGAUAAUUUUCUUUUGUUUUUGUACUUAGAAAUUUUAUUUCUGCAUUGACAUGAGUGAAGUUUACACUACUUUCGUAAUAUUUACAGGUAGCUAUAAAGUCUCUCUCUCUCUCUCUCUCUCUCUCUCUCUCUCUCUCUCCACUCAACAAGCAACUAAAAGCUGCCUACUCCAAGAUUUGGAAAGGCAGAGCUGAAUCUGUUUGCUCCCACGUAUCAAAGUGUAAAUAGUUUGUAAUUAGAUGACUUUAGUUAUGCAAAUAGAAUGUUUUCAUGGAAAACAUUCAGAAUGACGGGGCUGAAUCUCCUGGAUUAUAUCCUGUAGUUUCUUCAUUGAUAAUUAUCCUGAGCCUAGUAAUGGCAUGAGUAGCAUUUUGGGAAUUAUUUGUAAAUAGCCUUGUAAAUAUAGUAUCUAAACAUCCAUAGUCUUUGCAUUCCCCUAGAAAGCAGAUAUGCUGUUUCCUCUUUUAUAAAUGUAAACAUUUCAAUCUUUGACAUAUACAUCUAUCCUAUACUGUUCUUUCAACAAAAUGUUUAUUAUGACUUUCUAUGGUUUAUUGAAACUAUAUAAAUUGUGUGUCUACCCAGUAUGUGUUGGUAUCUCGGGGUAACUCUGGGUCUGUGUGUGUUUCUCUGUUAUGUCAUGAAACAGGAGAGUUUCAUGACUGCAGUACUGAAACGCUGCUAUAUAUGUCCCAUUGCCUUUUCCUCAGAAUACUGUAGUAAGAUUUUUUUUUGUUUCUGUAUUUAGAAAAUUCAUUUCUGCGUUCAAAGGAGUGAUGUUUCUACUAAUCUCGUAAUUUUGUCUUAGUAGUUAUAAAGUCUCUGUUUCUUCACUGACUGAGCAAGUAAAAGCUGCCUAUUCCAAGUUUUGGAAAGGCACAGAAGAAUCGGUUCGCACCCACGUAUCAAACUGUAAAUAGUUUGUAAUUAGAUGACUUUAGUUAAGCCAAAGAGAAUUUUUUCUUGGAAAACAAUCAGAAUGACGGGGUGGAAUCUCCUGGAUUAUAUCCCGUAAUUUCUUCAUUGAUAAUUAUCCUGACCCAAAUAAUGGCCUGAGUAGCAUUUUAGGAAUGACUUGUAAAUAGAUCCUCUUAUCGUCCAUAGCCUUUGUAGACCUCUAGAAAGCAGGCAUACUAUUUCAUCUUUUAUAAAUGUAAAUAUUCCCUUCUGUGACAUAUUCAUGUAACCUAUGUUGGUCUUUCAAAAAUAUUUAUUAUGGCCUUCUUUGAUUAUAGUGUAACUAUAUACAUAGAGUGGCAAACCAGUCCUUUUGCCACAAAAGAGGAGAUUUACAGAUAGAUCGAGGUAGCUGAGCAUGCUGAGUAAGCUCCAUCCUGUCCCCUGUACCUGUAGCUUUUAGUGAAAUCCUCAUUGGUAGCUGUUUUACAGUUUUUUCUUCUUUGGUUCUUGUACUUGUUGUUUUAUUUUUAACAGAUUUUUUUCCUUAUUACUUACAAAAGCUUCCAGUGAUAGCUAUAUUUUUCUUCUCUUUUUCAUACUUUUCCUUAAUAAAAUCCUUAUAGACACGUUAACAUGAUUUGAUAGGAAUUGGUUAUGUAUAGCUAUAAUCAUCUUGUGAAGUCAACAGAUCACAUUAGAGAUUAAGAUGGUCAUUAAAGAAUCUGGUUAUGGAGUUUGCCUUUCACAGGGCAGAACUUGCUAUUUGGAGGAGAAUCCUCUCUUCCCUUGACUGCUUGACAGCAUGCUGUCCAAACUAGACAAACAGGUUCCAAAGAAGACGGACUGCUGAAGACGCCAAGGGAAAGGAUGAUCCUUCUUAUAUUCUUCCUCCAAAAUUCUGCUACAUGUUCUGGCCAUACUGGCUGAAGAUGGAUGGGCUUAGGGUGCCGCCAAAAGUUGGGUGACUUUCAUGGAAGAGAGAUGUCUCUCCUAAUUUAUUGUUUUAUAUAGAAUCCUUCUGGAAUCUUUGUUGCUUUUGAGGACUGAUAAUUACCAUUAUGGAUUUUCUUAAUUAUGAUAAAUGUAACUUGCAUUUGAUUCUUUAACCUAACAAAGCAAGGGCAGACCAUGGAAUAUUUUCUUAAAAUUUGGCAAAUGUUAAUGUACUACAUAAUGAUAUCCAUAAUUUUUGCUCAUCAACUUUGAAAUACAUAAUUGGCCAAUGUGAAUUUUUUUUAAAAAAAAAAUCCUUAUUUUCUCCAGUAGGAAAUAGAACCUGAAGCAGAUGCUUUUCUAUAUGCUGUGGAUAUAUGUUUCUCUUAUUGGUUUAUGAAUGAAGCUAUUUUGGCCCAUAGUCAGACAAUAUGUAGCCAUUGAGGACAUAUAGGGAAUGAAGCCAGAGUUGAAUUCUGGGAGAGGUAUAUGGAGAGUGAGUCUCCUGAGAGUCGCCAUGUAACUUCAGGGAAUUUAGGUUGCUCUGUUUUCCUCUGUUAUGCUAAACCACCUGGAGAUUCACUGAUGAAAAGAAAUGGGUUAGGAUUUAUAGAGAGUGAGCAAAUAAGAUGAUUUUGCCUAAGUACAAAUAGUUUAUACUUAAUAUAUGCCUGUGUGUGUUCAUUUAGGAGUGGAGUGUGACAGGAUCAAACUGAACACUAUUUUCUGCCUACAUGUUGUUCAGGGAAUAAUUACUUAGUUGCUUUGUCUGUGUUCUGGGAUGUUUGAGAGGCCUUGUUUUCACAGAUCACGUGGUCAGCAAUCUGUUCCUGAGAAACAGUGUUGGGCCCAAUAGUUAGUUUCUAAAUGUCAUAUGCAAACUUUCAUUGAGUUUUGCAGCUUGUGCACACUGUUUUUCUGUUAAUAACAAAUCAAUGGCAAAGAAUUUCUACAUAAUCAACCUUUUCUUUUCCUAUAAUUGGGGUCAAAACCCAUCAAAUGUUGUUGAAGAAAUUUUCCUUUUAUUUUGUUCAAAGGUGAGCAUAAUUUUUCAAAAACGAGUUGUUUUGGUGACCCCAAGAACACAAUCAAAUGAAGUUUCUCUGUCUUGGUGUCACCUUGUGUGUGUUUAGAUAGCUACAAUCAUAUGGGGAGUAUAACAGAAUGAAGUAGUGAAAAUAAGCAUGUGAAGUGAACAUUAACUUUAUAAAUUAAUACUCAAAAUGAUAACUACAUAUGGUAUAACUUAAAGUACAUAUUGAACAUCUUUCCUUGGGCUCAUAAGUGUGAUAUAUUUACUGCUUUGAACAUAUUUUCCUCAUACAUGAUUGAGUUAAUGUAUCCAAAUUUCACACAAGUGCUGUGGAAGGUUACUAAAAUUUAAAAUAUGGAAAAAUUAAUUUGGUGCUUGAUUUGUUCCUAUAAUAAAAAAUUUAGAAUUCAUCUUUUGUCUAAUGAGUUGUAAAUAUAUUUGGAUAUUCAUAUACAUAGUUAUAGAUAUGUGCAUUUAUACAAUAUAUAAUAAGUACAUCCACCUACCCCAACUAACAAUUUAAGCAAUAGUGGAGAUGCUGUCUUAAAUGUGCUUCCUUGUAAUGAGAAUUGAUGUCUAUCUUACAGGUCAUCCUAGAGCCUUUCUCCAGUAGCUGAUUCAAGCAGAAGGAAACAUCCACAGCUAAACACUGAGCUAUAUUCCUGGAAUCCACUUGCAGAGAGCGAGGAGGGAUAAUAUAGGGGUCAUGACCGCACUGCAGAAACCCAGAGAAACAGAUGAGCUGAACAAAGGGGAGCUCAUGGACCCCAGACUGAUAGCUGGGAAACUAGCAAAGAACUUAUCCAGACUUGAACACAUCUGUCAGUUACGAAUCCUGGACAAUCUAUGGGGUCUCUGGGAGUGGAUCAGUAUUUAUUCAUGUUAUAGGAAUGGACUUUGAGAGCCCAUUCCACAUAGAGGGAUACUCUUUCAACUAGACACACCAGGGAGAGCCUAGAACCUGCUCCAAAUGAUAUAACAGACUUUGAAGUUCCCCCAUGGAAGUUCCCAACCUCACUGGGGAGGAGAAAUGGCAUGGGAUAGGGGGUGGGGAUCAUGAGAGGAUGGGACAGAGAGGGAACUGGGAUUGACAUUUAUCAAGCUUGUUUAUAAUUUAAAUUUAAAAAAUCAAAAAAAUUAGUAUGUCCACACAGAAGUACUAUCUGACAGUUGACUGGAUUUAUCAUCAUGGAAGACCUAAAUAAUACCAAGGCAACCAGGCAGUGUUGCUUACAGAUAUAUUCUAAAGGCUAUUGUUGAAUCCAAAUGGAUUCAGAGACUGCUUAUUAACUGGUAAUUUAUUUGGGAGUUAUACUCACACAAAAAUCCAUAACCAGGUUGUCACUUCUAGUGGUAGAGUCCCAGCAGCUUUCCAAUGCUGGUUCAACCCCGAGAGAGAGACAGAGAGAGCACUAGCUCUAUCUUACCUUGUUUACACCUUUCUAUAUACAUGUGACCACAUGCGGUGCGGUCAACCGUACAGGUAAUUAAGGUCUUUUUUUGAGGAAUUUUUGAUUCUCUACUGUAUUUUACCCUGUAUAUUUUAAGCCAUAAAUCUCACUUUGGGUACUGGUAGAUUUAGAAUUCAAUUGGUAGGCUAGGGUGACUUGUAAUUUCACAAACAUGUUUCAGCCUCACCCUUUCAAGUGCUAAAUUUAUAGAAAUUUACAAGGAACAUAAUUAAAAUUUACAUUCCAAUAUUACUCUCUGGUAAAAACAGAAAAAUUAUAUGGAGCCAUCAUAAUGUCUGGAAUACAGGAUGCAAUCCUGCAAGUAAAAAGUCAGAGAAUGGAUAGUAUGUUGUUGUUUACAAAAUAUAUGAAAUAUGCCCACCUUUAAAAAACUUAGUAAAAGCCAAUACUUAAAAAAAACUAGAAGAUAUUGGAUGCCUUCUGUGUGGUAAGUACUGAGCUGAAUUCCUAGAAUUCAGUUGUAGAGAGGGCGUAGUAAUGAGUAAAGGCGUCAAGAUCAUGGCAGAGAAACAUUCAAAAACAGCUGACCUGAUCAAGUGGUAAUACAUGAACACCCAUGACAGCUGGGUAACUAGCAUAAGACUGAACCAGGCUUCUUGAUUGGGGGUGUCAAUGGAAGGCCUAUGCUCUCUAUAGGGCCUUUGGCAGAGGAACCAGUAUUUAUCCAAGUACACAAAACGGUCUUUGGGUACCCAUUUUCUAUGGAAGGAUAUUCUCUCAGCCUAGAUACAUUGGAGAAGGUCUUGGUCCUGCCCCAAAAUAUGUGACAGACUUUGAUGUCACAUAUUGUGAUGCCUUGUUGGAGGCAUCACACACUCUGGGAGUGUUUGGUGGGUGUGAUGGGGAGUUUGUGUGGGGGAGCAUGGGAGGAUGGGAUGGAGUGGGAACUGAGAUUGAUAUGUAAAAUAAGAUUGUUUUUAAUUUAAACAAAAAUUGAUUUAAUAAAGGAAACCUAGGGUACAUGAGUUUGAGAAGAACCAGAUUUAUUCUAUAUCUAAGUGAAUUUGUUGGGGAAUAAAUAAAACACAGAGAAAAUUUCAAUCCCUUCUCCAAAUAUAUUGGAACUUAUUCCCAAUGCCAUUAAAUUUUUAUUUUGAAAGUAAUACAGAGACCCUCAUAAGGGCAAAAUUCUGAGAGACUUUGAAGGACUUAUGUCUAAAUGGG